rnacentral:tRNA from 1 species
UGUCUUUUUAGUUUAUGUAAAAUUUUAUUUUGUGGAGAUAGAGAAGAAGUUUCAAAGGACAA